GACGAACGCUGGCGGCGUGCCUAAUACAUGCAAGUCGAACGAGAGCGACCUGUGCUUGCACUGUUCAAUCUAGUGGCGCACGUGUGAGUAACACGUGUAUAACCUGCUCAUCAGAGGGGGAUAACAUCCGGAAACGGACUCUAAAACCGCAUAGGUCUUCGAACCGCAUGGUUUGAAGAGGAAAAGAGGCGCAAGCUUCUGCUGAUGGAUGGUCCCGCGGUGCAUUAGCUAGUUGGUGAGGUAACGGCUUACCAAGGCCGUGAUGCAUAGCCGAACUGAGAGGGUGGUCGGCGACAUUGGGACUGAGCCACGGCCCAAGCUACUACGGGAGGCAGCAGUAGCGAACCGUCCGCAAUGGUCGCAAGUAUGACGGAGCAGCGCUGCGUGAGUGACAACGGUGUUCGGAUCGUAAAACCGUGUUGUUAGAGAAAAACAAGUGCCACAGUAAAUGUUAGGGGCGUGACGGUAACUAAUCAGAAAGCACCGGCUAACUACGUG
rnacentral:rRNA from 1 species